GAGUUUGAUCCUGGCUCAGGAUGAACGCUGGCGGCGUGCUUAACACAUGCAAGUCGAACGGGGAUGCAGGGAACUAAGUAAAUAGCUUGCUAUGAGCGAAGUAUCCUGUAUCUUAGUGGCGGACGGGUGAGUAACGCGUGGGUAACCUGCCAUAUACAGGGGGAUAACAGCGAGAAAUUGCUGCUAAAACCGCAUAAGCGCACGGAGUCGCAUGACUCAGUGUGAAAAACUCCGGUGGUAUAUGAUGGACCCGCGUCUGAUUAGCCAGUUGGCAGGGUAACGGCCUACCAAAGCGACGAUCAGUAGCCGGCCUGAGAGGGUGGACGGCCACAUUGGGACUGAGACACGGCCCAAACUCCUACGGGAGGCAGCAGUGGGGAAUAUUGCACAAUGGGGGAAACCCUGAUGCAGCGACGCCGCGUGAGUGAAGAAGUAAUUCGUUAUGUAAAGCUCUAUCAGCAGGGAAGAAAAGAGACGGUACCUGACUAAGAAGCCCCGGCUAACUACGUGCCAGCAGCCGCGGUAAUACGUAGGGGGCAAGCGUUAUCCGGAUUUACUGGGUGUAAAGGGAGCGCAGACGGCACAGCAAGUCUGGAGUGAAAGCCCGCGGCUCAACCGCGGGACUGCUCUGGAAACUG
rnacentral:rRNA from 1 species